rnacentral:rRNA from 1 species
UGUUGGACAAUGGGGGAAACCCUGAUCCAGCCAUCUCGCGUGUGCGAUGAAGGCCUUCGGGUUGUAAAGCACUUUUGUCAGGGAAGAAAAGGCGUUGGCUAAUAUCCAUCGUCGCUGACGGUACCUGCAGCAUAAGCACCGGCUAACUACGUGCCUGCAGCCGCGGUAAUACGUAGGUUGCAAGCGGUAAUCGGAAUUACUGGGCGUAAAGCGGGCGCAGGCGGUUUGGCAAGAAGGAUGUGAGUUCCCAGGGCUUAUCCUUGGAACUGCAUUCUUAACUCCCAGGCUAGAGUAUGUCAGAGGGGGGUAGAAUUCCACGUGUAGCAGUGAAAUGCGUAGAGCUGUGGAGGAAUACCGAUGGCGAAGGCAGCCCCCUGGGAUAAUACUGACGCUCAUGCACGAAAGCGUGGGGAGCAAACA